CAGGGUCUGGGCGAGCAGCGUCUUGCCCGAGCCGGUCGGGCCCAGCAGCAGGAUGUUGGACUUCGACAGCUCGAUGCCGUCGUCCCUGU
rnacentral:tRNA from 1 species